rnacentral:rRNA from 1 species
GAUGAACGCUGGCGGCGUGCCUAAUACAUGCAAGUCGAGCGAACGGACGAGAAGCUUGCUUCUCUGAUGUUAGCGGCGGACGGGUGAGUAACACGUGGAUAACCUACCUAUAAGACUGGGAUAACUUCGGGAAACCGGAGCUAAUACCGGAUAAUAUUUUGAACCGCAUGGUUCAAAAGUGAAAGACGGUCUUGCUGUCACUUAUAGAUGGAUCCGCGCUGCAUUAGCUAGUUGGUAAGGUAACGGCUUACCAAGGCAACGAUGCAUAGCCGACCUGAGAGGGUGAUCGGCCACACUGGAACUGAGACACGGUCCAGACUCCUACGGGAGGCAGCAGUAGGGAAUCUUCCGCAAUGGGCGAAAGCCUGACGGAGCAACGCCGCGUGAGUGAUGAAGGUCUUCGGAUCGUAAAACUCUGUUAUUAGGGAAGAACAUAUGUGUAAGUAACCGUGCACAUCUUGACGGUACCUAAUCAGAAAGCCACGGCGAACUACGU